rnacentral:tRNA from 1 species
GGAGAGGUGUCCGAGUGGUUGAAGGAGCGCGCUUGGAAAGCGCGUGGCUGCCGCAAGGUGGCUCCAGGGUUCGAAUCCCUGCCUCUCCG